GUAGUCUAUACAAAUGGAAUUGUAUGAUAUGUAUUAUAAUUCUUUAACAUCUUUUAUUAGCACACUUACUGAGAAUAUAGUCAAGUUAUUCUGUGACUCAGACAUGCCUUGACUGUAAGGCCGAGUCGUAUUCCACUACAUCAAUAUAUCUGAAACUGUUUAAUUAUUCACCUAUAAUAGAUAUUUUAUUUGUCCUCUCAGUUGCUAUCUUUUAUAUAGGAAGCAACUACUCAGUAAGGAAAAGUAAAAAAGUGAGAAAAAUACAACCAUAUUCUACCUCAUUGACGAUAAGCUUGAACAACUACUAAUAAAGGAAAUAAAACAUCUACACAUCAGAGUUCAUGUCACAGGGCAAGUGAAAAAACUGCAGUCUAAGGUGACAGGCGCCUGAAGGGAGAACCAGGACCCACAUAUUAUUGCACCUAGGUCUGUUCCCACUGGAUGGCAUUUCUGGUAGAAAAAGACUAACCUGGAUAUAUUUCGUAAGUGGCUUGAAGAUUGAUGUGCUAAUGGUGUUAGAGUGUGAAGCUUCUAGUGCUUGUAGGCUUUUUCUACAGAAUUGAGGAAAAUUCCCAAUUUCCCCAUUGCUGUUGUUCUGUGUUUAUUGGGGGAGAAGAACAGGAGCCACUGCUGAAUUCCUGAAUCCUCUUCCACUAUUUCCAGGAGGCAAAUCCACUAAAACUCCUCUAUGGGCACUGUUGGGGUCAACAGAAACAGAUUAAAACAAAGGGGGAUAGGGUGGGGUGAUGUCUGCAGUACCCUGGAAAACAGUGAGGAAGGAAGAGACACUGAAGUUAAAUAAAUAUAUACUAAAAAGAACUAUUACCUUGGUAAACAUGAUUGGUUGCAGUGAUCAUCAGAAGUAAACUGAGUUUCCAGACAUAGAAGAGAUAAAGUAAAGGCCCUUGGUGCUUCCCUGCAUAUAUACUGAGGACAAUAAAAGGCUUUGACAGAAGAAGGGAAGUUGAAGAAAUAGUCUGAGGAGCAGUCACCAGGAGCCAACCAGAAUAGUUAAAACCAGUCCAUAAAGUGGUGUUUCAUCUACAUAAGCAGCUGAGGAAAGUAAAAGAAAGUCAAUACCAUGCAUAUGCUGAGUUAUUGAUAGAAAAGCAUUUACAGUUGUGUGACUGACACAACGCAGAAAACAUAAAUCUUUGCAUGAACAGACAGUUUGGAUUGAGGAUACACAAUUCUUAUUAAAAUUAUACUGAUAAGUCAUCACUAGCAUUAUUGUGAAAAUACGUAGGACUAUAAAUUGAAAUGAAUCUAUGUUCUAAGUUGAAGAUUUUGUAGGUGAAAAAACAAAAACAAGACAAAACAUGAGUUACAAGGAGGAAAUGCUAGAGGUCCUGGGGUAAACCUUUGCUUUACGAGGUCAAAAAAUAACAAGUUCAGGCCGGGCGUGGUGGCUUAAGCCUGUAAUCCCAGCACUUUGGGAGGCCGAGACGGGUGGAUCACGAGGUCAGGAGAUGGAAAUCAUCCUGGCUAACACGGUGAAACCCCGUCUCUACUAAAAAAUACGAAAAAUUAGUCGGGCGAGGUGGCGGGUGCCUGUAGUCCCAGCUACUCAGGAGGCUGAGGUAGGAGAAUGGCGGGAACCCGGGAGGCGGAGCUUGCAGUGAGCUGAGAUCGGCGCCACUCACUCCAGCC
rnacentral:lncRNA from 1 species